CAGUAGCCGCGGGAAUACGUAGGGUGCGAGCGUUAAUCGGAAUUACUGGGCGUAAAGCGUGCGCAGGCGGUUGUGUAAGACAGGUGUGAAAUCCCCGGGCUUAACCUGGGAACUGCGCUUGUGACUGCACAGCUAGAGUAUGGCAGAGGGGGGUGGAAUUCCACGUGUAGCAGUGAAAUGCGUAGGGAUGUGGAGGAACACCGAUGGCGAAGGCAGCCCCCUGGGCCAAUACUGACGCUCAUGCACGAAAGCGUGGGGAGCAAACAGGAUUAGAUACCCGUGUAGUCCCUGUCUCUUAUAC
rnacentral:rRNA from 1 species